AGGAUUAAAUUGAUUUUAAAGCUGUUCUGCCAGUAAAAUCAUAGUCCUGGCGCAUGUUCAGUAGGCAAGAAACCCUGAUAGCCUACUCUGUGUAAACAGUGCAUGCUUUGAGAGACUAUAUAGGGAGAAUAGCUGAGGAUUUGCAGGUUUAAACUGGAUUUAUUACCAAGAGCAUUCUUUUCACUUCCAGAAUGAAUGCUGUACUGUCUUUCAGUUUGUUUUUAUUCAGCUGUGCUUUGGUGUUCCCUAGGCCUUUUGAUACAAUACAGGAGAACAUUCCUACAAAAGGAGACAAUGAAGUUUACCUAGAAAUAAACAAAACCGAAGGAAACGUCACAAUGUUCUCCAAAGAUGAGACGGGCAGGCACAAAUACCUACAAAAAAAGAAAACUGAAGAAACCUGAAGAGAAGUACACCUUCCCACUGACCUCUAACUGGGCGUAUGGCUGGGACCAAGGUUAUAUGGAAAAAACAUACGUUCCACCCCACGGAAAGUCACGCAUUGUUCAAGAUACCUUUUUAAGAAAAAGUGGGGUCAUCUCAGGAUCUUUUUAGAUGAACAGACUUUUCAUAAACCAUUUGUGUGGUACUAGCUAAACAUUAAAGCCAGCUUCUAGUCCUGGAAUCAUAUUGUUAAUAACAGCGUUUUGGAAAAUGCCAUUACAGACAUACUUAAUGUGCCUCAAUAAAUACUGUAAAAUCAGAAAAUAAACGUUUACAACAGAAGCAAAAAUAUUUUAUUAAAAUAAGGCAAUUCACAUAUUGUCCUUAUCAAAAUAAUUCCACCAGUUUUGUAUAACUUUUUUAUUUAUUUGAGAAUUUCAAUUUAGAACAUACAUGGUUCCAUAUUGAAAUUAUAUUGUAUGUUAAAUUACAUUUAGUUUUGUUAUUCUUGUAGUAUUUGUUAUGGUGUUAAAACAAUUCACCUCUAAUAGAAAAACAAAAAGAUGACGCACCGCCAAGCAGCAUAGCUGAAGUGUCAGACGGUUCCGGUUCCACUAUGAAAGGCGCUAUAUAAAAUAAAGAUUGAUUGAAGACAUUUAGUCCUUGGUAUAAGCCUGUGUCAUGGGUCUCAUGGUGAGUGUCUCUUUGUUGCUGUCUUUUUUUUCUGGCCCUUUGGGUGUGUCGUUUCCAUUUCCAGUAGCACAAUCUUCAGGAGUACACUUUAAAAUAGAGUACACUUUAAAAUAGAGUACACUUUAAAAUAGAGUACACUUUAAAAUAGGUACCCUGGGUGUUUUAUGUGUGUCCGUUAACCAAUUGUAUAUAAAAAGGAUCAGUACAAACUAUUUAUUAAAUAAUGGUCCUGAUGGACACCCUGUAUGUACUGUUGUACACCAGAAUACCAGAGAGUGUGUACUAACAAACGGUUCUAAAGAGCAUUAACAUUAAACAAACUUUUAAAAAAAAAAUAGUUUGUACAUGAAGCCUUUAUUAUUUAAUUUAAUAAAUACUGCA